UACGGGGGGAGCAAGCGUUGUUCGGAUUUACUGGGCGUAAAGGGCUCGUAGGCGGCCAACUAAGUCCGACGUGAAAUCCCAAGGCUUAACCUUGGAACUGCGUCGGAUACUGGAUGGCUUGAAUUCGGGAGAGGAUGCAGAAUUCCAGGUGUAGCGGUGAAAUGCGUAGAUAUCUGGAGGAAUACCGGUGGCGAAGGCGGCAUCCUGGACCGACAUUGACGCUGAGGAGCGAAAGCUAGGGGAGCAACGGG
rnacentral:rRNA from 1 species